rnacentral:rRNA from 1 species
GAUGAACGCUGACAGAAUGCUUAACACAUGCAAGUCUACUUGAACUUCGGUUUGGGUGGCGGACGGGUGAGUAACGCGUAAAGAACUUGCCUCACAGUUAGGGACAACAUUUGGAAACGAAUGCUAAUACCUGAUAUUAUGAUUUUAGGGCAUCCUAGGAUUAUGAAAGCUAUAUGUGCUGUGAGAGAGCUUUGCGUCCCAUUAGCUAGUUGGAGAGGUAACGGCUCACCAAGGCGAAGAUGGGUAGCCGGCCUGAGAGGGUGAACGGCCACAAGGGGACUGAGACACGGCCCUUACUCCUACGGGAGGCAGCAGUGGGGAAUAUUGGACAAUGGACCAAAAGUCUGAUCCAGCAAUUCUGUGUGCACGAUGACGUUUUUCGGAAUGUAAAGUGCUUUCAGUUGGGAAGAAAAAAAUGACGGUACCAACAGAAGAAGUGACGGCUAAAUACGUG